UACGGAGGGGGCUAGCGUUGUUCGGAAUUACUGGGCGUAAAGCGCACGUAGGCGGCUUUGUAAGUUAGAGGUGAAAGCCCGGGGCUCAACUCCGGAAUUGCCUUUAAGACUGCAUCGCUAGAAUUGUGGAGAGGUAAGUGGAAUUCCGAGUGUAGAGGUGAAAUUCGUAGAUAUUCGGAAGAACACCAGUGGCGAAGGCGACUUACUGGACCAUAACUGACACUGAGGGACGAAAGCUAGGGGAGCGAAAGGG
rnacentral:rRNA from 1 species